AGGUUACGAAAUGCAGCCAAGGAUGACUUGCCGGCAAGAUCGAUCAAUUCUGCUUGAGUACUUUGUAGUUCUCAACUGAAGAGUGGAGAUUAACGAUUUUGAUUGGCAAGUCAUUUUUGGCUACAUCUCUGCCUCA
rnacentral:pre_miRNA from 1 species